GAGCUGGUGAACACCCUGGGGCUGUGGCGUCCGGCUGGCCAAGGAUGGAAGAAAGGGAGAUCAGAGGAAGGGAGGUUGCGCCCUCUCCGAACCUCACCACUGACAAGGAAUUUCGAAUUCGGCCCUGAAGAACCCGAAGCCGCGUCAGCGCAUGGGCCACCAUCACCCACUGUGAGGUCAGGCCUGGCUCCAGGACCCGCUCACCCUCGCCCCGCGCCCCCCUAACCUCAGGCCUCCCCCGGAUCCCCUCUGCACCUCCUGAUGCUGACGCUCCAGGCAGUGCCCCCUCGCCACCUCUCCACCACUGCUUCGCACUCCUCUCCAGCCUGGGUGACCUUGUCCAUGGUCCCGGUAGUCUCCAUCGCCAAGGAAACCUCCCGCAGAGUGCCAUCCCCUGCCCCCGGUGCCGAUGGCUGGGGGGAGGGCGGGGGAGGAUGGUCUCUUUAAGGUUCCCCCCAGACCAGCUCCGGCCGUGUCUCCAAAGCGCCCCUCGUGGAUCCCAGGUCCACUACCGCCAUUGCUUCCACCCAGACACGUGGGGCUCCUCCAGACAUGAGAGGUCUUCUGGCUCUGUACCAGGUUGGAGGACAGGCCCCAUGGAGCCACCCUCAGAUGAGGGCUCCUGCGCAGCGUGUACUGUGGGCACCCCUCACCCCUCACCGUGUUCAAAGCGUCUGUGGUCUCACAUCAAGGGCGGGAGUUGUGUCUCCAUCCCAGAGGCUGAGUGAGAGCCCGGCACGUGGUAGGUGCUGUGAACCACGCUCUCUGCUUGCAACCCAGGGGAGGAGGGGCGAAGUGGACUUACGGAGUUUCAGAGACUCGUUACCAAAAGAAGUUCAUGUAGUGUAUCCCGUGAACGGUCUUUACAGUUAUUGCAUGUUGAAAUAUACUGGGUUGUGUGAAAUAUA